UCUCUUUAAAAAAAAAAAAGCUUAACAACAACAAAACAAACAACCCAAUCAAUAAAUGGGCUAAGGAGCUGAACAGACACUUCUCAGAAGAAGAUACACAAUCGAUCAACAAAUAUAUGAAGAAAUGUUCAGCACCUCUAGUACUUAGAGAAAUGCAGAUCAUAACUAUAAGAUUUCAUUUCACAUCCGUCAGAAUGGCAGAAUACAAACAACAAUAAGUGUUGUCAAGCAUGUGGGGGAAAAGGCACACUCACACUUUGCUAGUGAGACUGCAAAUUGAUGCAACCAAUCUGGAAAUCAGUAUGGAGAUUCCUUAGAAAACUUGGAAUGAAAGUUUUGACCCAGCUAUCCCACCCCUUGGUCUAUACCAAAGGACUUAAAAACAGCAUACUAUAGUAACACAGCCACAUCGAUGUUAAUAGCAGCUCAAUUCACAAUAGCUAAACUGUGGAAGGAACCUAGAUGUCCUUCAAUAGAUGAAUGGGUUAAGAAACUUAGGUAUAUAUACACAAUGAACCAUUACUCAGCAUUAAAAGAGAAUAAAAUUAUGGCAAUUUGCAGGUAAAUAGAUGGAGUUGGAGAAUAUCAUGCUAGGGGAAGUAAGCCAAUCCCAAAAAACCAAAGGCCGAAUGUUCUCUCUGAUAAGUGGAUGCUGGAUCCAUAAUGGCGGGAGGGGGCAUGGGAAAAGUGGAGGAACUCUGAUUGGGCAAAGGGGGAGGAGGGGUGGGGAAGAGAGGAGGCUUGGAGGCGAGAAAGAUGGUGGAAUAAGAUGGACAUCACUACCCUAAGUACACGUAUGACUGCACAUACGGUACAACACUAUAUCAUGUACAACUGAGUACUGAAAAGUUGUGCUGCAAUUGUAUACAAUGAAUCAAAAUGCAUUCUGCUGUCAUGGAUACCUAAUUAGAAUAAAUAAAU
rnacentral:lncRNA from 1 species